rnacentral:rRNA from 1 species
UACGGAGGAGGCAAGCGUUAUCCGGAAUUAUUGGGCGUAAAGCGUCCGUAGGUGGUUGACCAAGUCUGCUGUCAAAGGGUGGGGCUUAACCUCAUAAAGGCAGUGGAAACUGGUGAGCUAGAGUGCGGUAGGGGUAAGGGGAAUUCCCAGUGUAUCGGUGAAAUGCGUAGAGAUUGGGAAGAACGUCGGUGGCGAAAGCGCCUUGCUGGGCCUGCACUGACACUGAGGGCCGAAAGCUAGGGGAGCGAAAGGG